rnacentral:rRNA from 1 species
GCGGCGAGUGAGCGGGAAGAGCUCAAAUUUGAAAUCUGGCAGUCUUCGAUUGUCCGAGUUGUAAUCUAUAGAGGCGUUUUCCGUGCCGGACCGUGUCCAAGUCUCCUGGAAAGGAGUAUCAAAGAGGGUGAUAAUCCCGUACUUAACACGACCACCGGUGCUCUGUGAUACGUCUUCUACGAGUCGAGUGGUUUGGGAAU